AUUGAACGCUGGCGGCAGGCCUAACACAUGCAAGUCGAGCGGAUGAAGGGAGCUUGCUCCUGGAUUCAGCGGCGGACGGGUGAGUAAUGCCUAGGAAUCUGCCUGGUAGUGGGGGAUAACGUCCGGAAACGGGCGCUAAUACCGCAUACGUCCUGAGGGAGAAAGUGGGGGAUCUUCGGACCUCACGCUAUCAGAUGAGCCUAGGUCGGAUUAGCUAGUUGGUGGGGUAAAGGCCUACCAAGGCGACGAUCCGUAACUGGUCUGAGAGGAUGAUCAGUCACACUGGAACUGAGACACGGUCCAGACUCCUACGGGAGGCAGCAGUGGGGAAUAUUGGACAAUGGGCGAAAGCCUGAUCCAGCCAUGCCGCGUGUGUGAAGAAGGUCUUCGGAUUGUAAAGCACUAUAAGUUGGGAGGAAGGGCAGUAAGUUAAUACCUUGCUGUUUUGACGUUACCAACAGAAUAAGCACCGGCUAACUUCGU
rnacentral:rRNA from 1 species